GCCACCCUAUAAACACAAGCAUUUACAAGCAUAUUUCACCACAUUUUUACAGCUCAAUAGGCAGCCAAAAUAAUCAUUUAGAUAUACAUUAUAAGCCAUAUCAAAUCUACCAAUUACAUAACCAAAUACCUAUUUAACAACAUGCAUAAUCCAUUCAUUUAACAUCAAUAUACCAAGCCUUCAUUUGCAUAAUUUCAUUC
rnacentral:lncRNA from 1 species